rnacentral:tRNA from 1 species
GCGGCUGUGGUGUAGUGGCAACACAUCAGCUUCCCAAGCUUAGGAUGCGAGUUCGAUUCUCGCCAGCCGCU